GAUGAACGCUGGCGGCGUGCCUAACACAUGCAAGUCGAACGGAGAUUACGGACGGAAGUUUUCGGAUGGAAGACUGUAAUUCUUAGUGGCGGACGGGUGAGUAACGCGUGGGCAACCUGCCCUAUACAGGGGGAUAGCAGCUGGAAACGGCUGGUAAGACCGCAUAAGUCGGCGAGACCGCAUGGUUUUGCCGGGAAAUGAGCAAUCAGGUAUAGGAUGGGCCCGCGUCCGAUUAGCCAGUUGGCAGGGUAAAAGCCUACCAAAGCAACGUUCGGUAGCCGGACUGAGAGGUCGGACGGCCACAUUGGGACUGAGACACGGCCCAAACUCCUACGGGAGGCAGCAGUGGGGGAUAUUGCACAAUGGAGGAAACUCUGAUGCAGCGACGCCGCGUGAGUGAAGAAGUAUUUCGGUAUGUAAAGCUCUAUCAGCAGGGAAGAUGAUGACGGUACCUGACUAAGAAGCCCCGGCUAACUACGUG
rnacentral:rRNA from 1 species